AAAAUAUCAAUUUUUCAAUUUAAAUAAACAUCAAUGAAUAAAAUGGAAACUAAUAGAAAUUUGGCGAAUUGUUAAGAGCCAAUGAACAAGAGUUUGAAAGAUCGAUAUAACCUUCCUUUACAAACAAUCUUCCACAUAAUUUUAUGACAGAGAUUUAGAUUCCUUGUAUACCAUCCAUAGCGUGAUGUUGCAGCUUCUGUCCUUGCAAGAUUAUAAUCACUAUAGAAUAUAUUCAGGUACUCACACCGAAGUCCACCUCUGAACCCGUUUUAUGUCAUUCAAUCUCAAGAAAUCCGGCCAACAAAUGUACAAAAACUCCAGUAAUAGAUAUCGGACGGACUAGUGUAUGUGGAAUCAGUGAAGUAUGUUUAUGUAAGGAGACACAUCCUUUUCUCAAUCGUAUUUGU